UACAGAGGUCUCAAGCGUUGUUCGGAUUCAUUGGGCGUAAAGGGUGCGUAGGCGGCGCGGUAAGUCGGGUGUGAAAUCUCGGAGCUUAACUCCGAAACUGCAUUCGAUACUGCCGUGCUUGAGGACUGGAGAGGAGACUGGAAUUUACGGUGUAGCGGUGAAAUGUGUAGAGAUCGGGAGGAACACCGGUGGCGAAGGCGGGUCUCUGGGCAUCUCCUGACGCUGAGGCGCGAAAGCGUGGGUAGCAAACAGG
rnacentral:rRNA from 1 species